rnacentral:rRNA from 1 species
CGUAACACGUAUGCAACCUACCCGCUAUUGGGGGAUAACCCGGCGAAAGUCGGACUAAUACCCCAUAUUAUUCUUACCGGGCAUCCGGUAGGUCUGAAAGAUUUAUCGAUUGCGGAUGGGCAUGCGUGCCAUUAGCUAGUUGGGGCGUAACGGCGCACCAAGGCGACGAUGGCUAGGGGGUCUGAGAGGAUGGUCCCCCACACUGGUACUGAGACACGGACCAGACUCCUACGGGAGGCAGCAGUGAGGAAUAUUGGUCAAUGGGCGGAAGCCUGAACCAGCCAAUGCCGCGUGCAGGAUGACGGCCCUACGGGUUGUAAACUGCUUUUCCCCGGGAAGAAUAAGCCCCUCGUGAGGGGUGAUGCCGGUACCGGGGGAAUAAGGAUCGGCUAACUCCGUGCCAGCCGCGGC